CUCACCAGGUCAGGACACGGUAAGGAUUGACGGACUGAAGGCUCUUUCUCGAUUCCGUGGAAAGUGGUGCAUGGCCGUUUUUGGUUGGUGGAUCGAUCCGUCUGGUUAAUUCCGUUAACGAACGAGACCUCGGCACUCCGAAUAGCGCGGCGGACGUCGCGGCCUCCGGGCCGUCUUCCGCACGAGCUUCUUAGAGGGACCGUCCCCCGCCGGGGGAAGGAGGUGCGAGGCAACGACAGGUCUGUGAUGCCCUUAGAUGUUCUGGGCCGCACGCGCAUUACACUGACGCGUCCAACGGGUGACUCCCGACCCGAAGGGGCCGGGGAAUCCGCAAGGCGCGUCGUGAUGGGGAUUGAACGUUGCAAUUGUUGUUCACGAACGAGGAAUUCCUAGUAGGCGCGGGUCAUCAACCCGCGCCGAUUACGUCCCUGCCCUUUGUACACACC
rnacentral:rRNA from 1 species